AUGAUCAAGGGAGACCAGAGGCAGCUUGGCAGCCAUGAAGAUCGGCUGAAAGAUCAGGAUGGCAAUUUUUUCAAGUUCUUGCAAAACCAGUCAAGCGCAAAAAAAGAGGCUCAAGAAGACAAGAUUGCGUCCACGAGGGCAGAGAUGGGCGAAGUGAGAAAAGAGAACGAGAGGCUGAAGACGAUGUUGUCAUGGAUGGUGGAGGACCAUCGAUCCCUUCAGAAGCAGUUCGAUGUUUUCCACCAGCAAGGACGAGGCAAAAACCUCGCCGUGGGCUCACCGGAGCACACAUCGCCCACCGACGGCGUCAAGGACCCCAGAUUCUUCGCAUUAGGCCUCGGAACGAGUGCGAGCGCGAGCACGAGCAGGCAGAACUUGGGAGAAGAGAUCAGGACCGGCACUAAUAAUCCAGAUGGCAAGGGCGUCUCUCUUGGACUUUCAUCAGGCUGCAAAGCUGUUGGUGCAGCUGGUCAAAGUGAGAUGAAGGUGCAGCCGGAUGUGCUGACGUUGAGCCCUGGAGGCAGCUCCGAGGAGGACGCCGCCACAGAGACGACAACAACAUCGAGCAAAGCAGCAAAGAACCCGAGGAGCACCGGUGGUGGCGCAGAGGCCGAGGAGGAGGUGGCCCAGCAGCCACUGGCCAAGAAGGCAAGGGUGUCGGUGAGGGCACGGUGUGACACACCAACGAUGAACGAUGGGUGCCAGUGGAGGAAGUAUGGGCAGAAGAUAUCGAAGGGGAACCCAUGUCCACGCGCCUACUACCGCUGCACCGUCGCAACAGGGUGCCCCGUCAGGAAACAGGUGCAGAGAUGUGCGGAAGACAUGUCGAUCCUGAUCACCACCUACGAGGGCGCGCACAACCACCCGCUCUCCGCCUCCGCAGCCGCCAUGGCCUCCACCACCUCCGCCGCCGCGUCCAUGCUCAUGUCAGGCUCCUCCACCUCGCUCGGCUUCCCCUCCGCCGCCUCCAGCCUCCACGGCCACAGGUUCGGCCUCCCGGCGGCCAGCGACGCCUCCUCCAGCCAGAUGGGUGGCCGGCCGUUCUUCCUCCCGACCGCCACCGGCGCGUCCAUCAGCGCCACGCCGUCGUACCCCACCAUCACCCUCGACCUCACCUCGCAGGCCGCCUCGCAGCAGGCCUUCUCCCUCAGCAACAGCAACAGGUUCUCCUCCAGCUUCAGUGGCGCCCACGGCCACAGCAGCAGCGCUGGUAGGUACCCUUCCACGAGCUUCUCCUUCUCCGGCUCCGGCGCAAGCAACCUGCCCGGCUUCACCGCGUGGCCGGCCGGCGUUGGAUCAUACAUGAGCUACGGAUCGUCGUCCGCCGCGCUCUACAACGGCGCCGGCAAGAGCUCGUUCGAGGACGCGCUGAGCGGCAUCAACGGAAGGCAGCAAGCCUCGGUGGCGUCCCUCUACCAGCCGGCGCAGGUGCAGCAGAGAGCGGCUCAGUUGAGCGGCGGCGGCACGGGCACGGCGGCGCCGAUCGUGCCCACCGACACGAUCGCCAAGGCGAUCACGUCGGACCCGGGCUUCCACACGGCGCUCGCGGCCGCCAUCACGUCGUACGUCGGCAAACCGGCUGCCGGAGGCGGCAAGGGGCUCGAGUGGGGGGAGCACCUCGGGCUGGGCCCGUCGAGUGCGGCGUGCUCGUCGGCGCUGCUGGCACGGUCGACGGGGGCGGCACCGAGCGGUUCUCCGCACGGCAAGAAGAUGCCGUUCUUGCAGCCGUCGCUGGCACUCUCGGGCUCCACCACCAGUGCUACUGCUUCCACCCCACCUGUGAAAAGCAGGGAGCACACUAAUUAG
rnacentral:rRNA from 1 species